GCGAGAGUGGCGGAACUGGCAGACGCGCUAGACUUAGGAUCUAGAGCCUUUUGGUGUGGGGGUUCGACUCCCCCCUCUCGCA
rnacentral:tRNA from 1 species